UGGUUUCGAUUUUAAGUGUAACUUCCAGCAAUAAUGGUAUAUAUGUAAAGAAAAAAUAUAUACCAUUAUUGCUGGAAGUUACACUUAAAAUCGAAACCA